UACGUAGGGUGCAAGCGUUGUCCGGAAUUAUUGGGCGUAAAGAGCUCGUAGGCGGUCUGUCGCGUCGGAUGUGAAAACCCAGGGCUCAACCCUGGGCCUGCAUUCGAUACGGGCAGACUAGAGUUCGGUAGGGGAGACUGGAAUUCCUGGUGUAGCGGUGAAAUGCGCAGAUAUCAGGAAGAACACCCGUGGCUAAGGCGGUUCUCUAGUACGGUACUGACGCUGAGACGCGAAAGCGUGGGGAGCGAACAGG
rnacentral:rRNA from 1 species